rnacentral:rRNA from 1 species
UGAUUGGGCCGACGUCGCAUGCUCCAGGUCGCCAUGUCAUACCGCGGGAAUUUCAUCGAGUUUGAUCAUGGCUCAGAUUGAACGCUGGCGGCAUGCCUUACACAUGCAAGUCGAACGGUAACAGGUCUUCGGAUGCUGACGAGUGGCGAACGGGUGAGUAAUACAUCGGAACGUGCCCGAUCGUGGGGGAUAACGAGGCGAAAGCUUUGCUAAUACCGCAUACGAUCUACAGAUGAAAGCGGGGGAUCUUUGGACCUCGCGCGGACGGAGCGGCCGAUGGCAGAUUAGGUAGUUGGUGGGAUAAAAGCUUACCAAGCCGACGAUCUGUAGCUGGUCUGAGAGGAUGAUCAGCCACACUGGGACUGAGACACGGCCCAGACUCCUACGGGAGGCAGCAGUGGGGAAUUUUGGACAAUGGGCGAAAGCCUGAUCCAGCCAUGCCGCGUGCAGGAUGAAGGCCUUCGGGUUGUAAACUGCUUUUGUACGGAACGAAAAGCCUCUUUCUAAUAAAGAGGGGUCAUGACGGUACCGUAAGAAUAAGCACCGGCUAACUACGUGCCAGCAGCCGCGGUAAUACGUAGGGUGCAAGCGUUAAUCGGAAUUACUGGGCGUAAAGCGUGCGCAGGCGGUUUUGUAAGACAGAGGUGAAAUCCCCGGGCUCAACCUGGGAACUGCCUUUGUGACUGCAAGGCUGGAGUGCGGCAGAGGGGGAUGGAAUUCCGCGUGUAGCAGUGAAAUGCGUAGAUAUGCGGAGGAACA